rnacentral:lncRNA from 1 species
AACUCGCACCUGGCCUGCCUGCGUUCCCACGCCCCACGAAGGGACGCCGCGUUUCUCUCCCUUCCAAGGGACCCUUUUCCUCCCCCCCCCCCCCCCCCCCCCCCCCGCGAAGUCUCAUUCCGGAUUGCCUCGAUGCCCCAGGGUCACCUGCUAUCAACCUGGGCAGGCGUUUGGCCCCGGGCCUGCCCUUGUCUCCAUCCCCAGCCCGUCUUCCACCUCUUGUCGCCCCCUCCCGCUCAGCCCCCUUCUUCUCCACGUGCCCCUGCACUCCCACGCCCCUCCCCCACGGAGCCCCUCUCCUCCGGUCUCGAGGAGUCUCGCGGCACUUCCCGGGGCGUCAGCCCAGCCGCCGCGGGUGGGUGGCAGACGCGCGGAGCGGGGUCCCUCUGGCGCGGGCUGUGAGGAGGGCGCCCAAGCGCCUCAGCCGCAGGGACGCCCCCGGCGCCUGCCCCGACGCGGCCCGGGCCCCGCCCCUCUCCGGCCCCGCCCCCGCCCGGCGGCCGCGCGUCCCCGGCAGGCGGAGCUGCAGGAGCCUCGCGGCAGCGCUGAGGAGGAGGGGAGAGCGGGCGGCGCGGCCGCGGCUGCCGGGCGCUGGGCUGGGCGGCGCUUUUUUUUUUUUUUUUUUUUUUUCGCAAUUUCCACUCGCGGGGAGCAGGAAACCCGGCGCAGCCGGGCGCAUUGGGCCGCGAUGCAACAGCAGCAGCAGGAGUCGCCCCGGGGCAGCAGCGGCAGCAGCAGCAGAGGCAGCAGCGGGCGGCGCUGAGCCGCCGCCGCAGUCACUGAGGAAGAAGCCGGCCCAGCAGCCGCCGCGUCCGGACCCCCGCGCCUGGAUCCCAGCGCCCCGAUCCCGGCGCACCGAACCCCACGCCCGCCUCCGCCAACUUUCACGCUGCCUCGGCGGCCCGGCCCGGCUCGACGCCAAUGGGUGAGUGAGGGCCGCCCGCGUCCGGGCGUCCACUUCAGCCUUGAGGGCGGCGCGCCAGUCCCAGAACCGCGGAGCCCGGGAGGGCGCCCCGGGGGCAGGGUCCCGACGGGGGACACCGCAGUGGGCGCCCUCGCCUGCCUCGCGCGCCCCCAUUCACUCCCACUUGCGCCUGUGUGCCCGCCGAGCCCGCGCGCGGCGCCGACGGGAACCCGCG